AUUGAACGCUGGCGGCAGGCCUAACACAUGCAAGUCGAGCGUGCGGCUGACGGGUGUGUAAUGUAUGUGGCUCUGCCCGAUAGUGGGGUAUAACUACUGGAAACGGUGGCUAAUACCGCAUACUAUCGGCUGAACCCAUAUGGGCUUAGCUAGUAGGUGGGGUAAAGGCUCACCUCGGCGACGAUCUCUAGCUGGUCUGCGAGGAUGAUCAGCCACACUGGGACUGAGACACGGCCCUGACGCCUCGGGUAGGCAGCGGUGGUGAAUAUUGCACAAUGGGCGCAAGCCGGAUGCAGCGAUGCCGCGAGGAUGAAGAAGGCCGUAGGGUUGGAAAGUACUUGCAGCGGGGAGGCGUGACCCGCAGAAGAAGCGCCGGCUAACGCCGUGCCAGCAGCCGCGGUAAUUC
rnacentral:rRNA from 1 species